rnacentral:rRNA from 1 species
AUUGAACGCUGGCGGCAGGCCUAACACAUGCCAGUCGAACGGUAACAGGAAGCAGCUUGCUGCUUCGCUGACGAGUGGCGGACGGGUGAGUAAUGUCUGGGAAGCUGCCUGAUGGAGGGGGACAACUACUGGAAACGGUAGCUAAUACCGCAUAAUGUCGCAAGACCAAAGAGGGGGACCUUCGGGCCUCUUGCCAUCGGAUGUGCCCAGAUGGGAUUAGCUUGUUGGUGGGGUAACGGCUCACCAAGGCGACGAUCCCUAGCUGGUCUGAGAGGAUGACCAGCCACACUGGGACUGAGACACGGUCCAGACUCCUACGGGAGGCAGCAGUGGGGAAUAUUGCACAAUGGGCGCAAGCCUGAUGCAGCCAUGCCGCGUGUAUGAAGAAGGCCUUCGGGUUGUAAAGUACUUUCAGCGGGGAGGAAGGGAGUAAAGUUAAUACCUUUGCUCAUUGACGUUACCCGCAGAAGAAGCACCGGCUAACUCCGUG